rnacentral:lncRNA from 1 species
CCCCAAUUUUGGGGUACCCCUCCCCAAUUUUGGGGGACCCCUCCCCAAUUUUGGGGUUCCCACCUCAAUUUUGGGGUUCCCCUCCCCAUUUUGGGGCUCCUCCUGUAAAGUUUUGGGGUCUGGGGGUGUCACCCCAACCUCCCCCAGCCCCAUUUCUGUGCCCCAGGGAGGGAUUUUUUCCCCCCCAACUCCUGAUUUUGGGGUCCCUUCCCCAUUUUGGGGUCCCCCCAUGGGAUUUUGGGGAUCCCCACCCCAUUUUUGGGUUCCAAGUCCAUUUUUGGGGGUGCCAGGUGGGUUUUUUAGUUUCUAGGGCCAUUUUUUGGGGUGCCAAGUUCUUUUUUGAGGUUCUAGGGCCAUUUUUUGGGGUGUCAGGUCCAUUUUUUGAGGUUUCAGGUUCAUUUUUUGGGGUGCCAGGUGCAUUUCUUGAGUGUCUAGGUCCAUUUUUCGGGGUGCCAAGUGCAUUUUUUGAGGUUUCAGGUUCAUUUUUCGGGGUGCCAAGUGCAUUUUUUGAGGUUUUGGGGUUCAUUUUUUGGGGUUCUGAGCUGUUUUUUGGAGCUUUCUGGUCCAUUUUGGGGGGUUCCAGAUGGGUUUUUGGGGUGCAAAGUCCAUUUUUUUAGUGUCUAGGUUCAUUUUUGGCGGUGCCAGGGCUGUUUUUGGGGUGCCAAGUGCAUUUUUUCAGGUUCUAGGUCCAUUUUGUGGGGUUCCAGGUGGGUUUUUGGGGUGCAAAGUCCAUUUUUUGAGGUUUUAGGUUCAUUUUGUGGGGUGCCAAGUGCAUUUUUUAAGGUUUUAGGUUGAUUUUUGGGGGUUCCAGGUGGGUUUUUGGGGUUGCCAGGGCUGUUUUUGGGGUGCCAAGGUGUUUUUUGGGGUGCCAAGGUGUUUUUGGGGUCCCCAGGUGGCCAAUUACAUCAAGGAGCAGUCGGCUGCCAACUUCCAGGCCAUCGUCAUCUCCCUCAAGGAGGAAUUUUACACCAAGGCCCAGAGCCUGAUCGGCGUCUACCCCGAGGUACCAAACCCCAAAUAUCCCCAAAUUCCCCUGGGACAACCCAAAAAUAUCCCCAAAUUCCCCUGGAACACCAAAACCAACCGAACCACUACCUGACUACAAAUACAAACACCCCAAAACGGACCAACCUAACCU